AGUGAACGCUGGCGGUAGGCCUAACACAUGCAAGUCGAACGGCAGCACAGUAAGAGCUUGCUCUUACGGGUGGCGAGUGGCGGACGGGUGAGGAACACAUCGGAAUCUACUUUUUCGUGGGGGAUAACGUAGGGAAACUUACGCUAAUACCGCAUACGACCUACGGGUGAAAGCAGGGGAUCUUCGGACCUUGCGCGAUUGAAUGAGCCGAUGUCGGAUUAGCUAGUUGGCGGGGUAAAGGCCCACCAAGGCGACGAUCCGUAGCUGGUCUGAGAGGAUGAUCAGCCACACUGGAACUGAGACACGGUCCAGACUCCUACGGGAGGCAGCAGUGGGGAAUAUUGGACAAUGGGCGCAAGCCUGAUCCAGCCAUACCGCGUGGGUGAAGAAGGCCUUCGGGUUGUAAAGCCCUUUUGUUGGGAAAGAAAAGCAGCAGGUUAAUACCCCGCUGUUCUGACGGUACCCAAAGAAUAAGCACCGGCUAACUUCGUG
rnacentral:rRNA from 1 species